GACAGAGGGUGCAAACGUUGUUCGGAAUUACUGGGCGUAAAGCGCGUGUAGGCGGCUCGGAAAGUCGGAUGUGAAAGCCCUGGGCUCAACCUAGGAAGUGCAUUCGAAACUUCCGAGCUGGAGUGCUGGAGAGGAAGGCGGAAUUCUCGGUGUAGAGGUGAAAUUCGUAGAUAUCGAGAGGAACACCGGUGGCGAAGGCGGCCUUCUGGACAGCGACUGACGCUGAGACGCGAAAGCGUGGGGAGCAAACAGG
rnacentral:rRNA from 1 species